rnacentral:rRNA from 1 species
UACGAAGGGGGCUAGCGUUGUUCGGAAUCACUGGGCGUAAAGCGCACGCAGGCGGAUCGUUAAGUCAGGGGUGAAAUGCCGAGGCUCAACCUCGGAACUGCCUUUGAUACUGGCGAUCUUGAGUUCGGGAGAGGUGAGUGGAACUGCGAGUGUAGAGGUGAAAUUCGUAGAUAUUCGCAAGAACACCAGUGGCGAAGGCGGCUCACUGGCCCGAUACUGACGCUGAGGCACGAAAGCGUGGGGAGCAAACAGG